rnacentral:pre_miRNA from 1 species
CGUUAAACAUUGGCUCAACAUCUAAUUGAUAUAAUGUUGUUGAGCAAUGUUUUAAUGCA